GUGCUCACUUUGGCAGCACAUAUACUAGCACUGGAACAACGAUACAGGGAAGGUUAGCAUGGCCCCUGUGCAAGGAUGACACACAAAUUUGUGAAGCAUUCCAUAUUUUU